GCCCUUCAGAAACAUCUUAUAGAAGUGUAAUGAUAUAGAGAACAUUAGCAUGGCCUUGUGCAAGGACGGCACACAUGAAUAGAGAAAUGGUCCUACAUGUA
rnacentral:snRNA from 2 species